CGCCCAGCAACUCCUAUCCCUACCUCCACGCGGUACCGGCCGGAAACUAUGAGCAACCUUAGGGAAGAUCGGGUAACCAACUCCGGUGGGAACUUUGGGCUGACAGGGAAGG
rnacentral:ribozyme from 1 species